rnacentral:rRNA from 1 species
UAAUACGUAGGGUGCGAGCGUUGUCCGGAAUUAUUGGGCGUAAAGAGCUCGUAGGCGGCUUGUCGCGUCGGAUGUGAAAGCCCGGGGCUUAACCCCGGGUCUGCAUUCGAUACGGGCAGGCUAGAGUUCGGUAGGGGAGAUCGGAAUUCCUGGUGUAGCGGUGAAAUGCGCAGAUAUCAGGAGGAACACCGGUGGCGAAGGCGGAUCUCUGGGCCGAUACUGACGCUGAGGAGCGAAAGCGUGGGGAGCGAACAGGAUUAGAUACCCUGGUAGUCCACGCCGUAAACGUUGGGAACUAGGUGUGGGCGACAUUCCACGUCGUCCGUGCCGCAGCUAACGCAUUAAGUUCCCCGCCUGGGGAGUACGGCCGCAAGGCUA